UACGAAGGGGACUAGCGUUGUUCGGAAUUACUGGGCGUAAAGCACGCGUAGGCGGAUCGCUAAGUCAGGGGUGAAAUCCCAGGGCUCAACCCUGGAACUGCCUUUGAUACUGGGGAUCUCGAGUCCGGAAGAGGUGAGUGGAACUGCGAGUGUAGAGGUGAAAUUCGUAGAUAUUCGCAAGAACACCAGUGGCGAAGGCGGCUCACUGGUCCGGUACUGACGCUGAGGUGCGAAAGCGUGGGGAGCAAACAGG
rnacentral:rRNA from 1 species